rnacentral:lncRNA from 1 species
AGAAGUAUCAAAUAAAACAAAAUACAACUACUAGUACAACAAUCCCAACCACCAAGAAGAAAAUACAAACAGAAAAAGCAUCAACCAUAGAAACACACAAAAACUAGCUUUAGGAAAAUUUAGAUCUCUUCAAUCUAAGGAUACAUAAAAGAGCAACAAAAUCACAAAAGACGGAAUAAGAACAAAUCCAAUGGAGGUCGAAGACACUCACCCUUCUAUUAACUUAGAAACUGGAUAGGGUUUUUAAGCCCGACUAAGAAAUCACAUGAGUUUUCGACGGACCUACCAAGAUACAUUUUCCAAGUCAAGAAGAUGUUCAUGUCUUCCCCGUUUUUUGGUGUCACCGAAGAUGCAGAAAAAACUAUUGCAAUCAUUUCAUCACGGUUCGUAUUAUCAACCGUGGUGAAAGGUGUUACAUAUUUAUAUAUAAGCGAAAUUAUCUUUCGCUUCUAUACAUAACAACCGCCUCUAUCAAAACAAAACUCUAACAUUUCUUUCACUCGUCUCUCUCAAAACAAAACUCUAACAUCUCUGUCACUCGUCUCUCUCAUAUGAAAACCCCAAACUUAUGCAGCAAACUCGCCUUCUUCGAAGGAUUACCUUUGUUGCAUCAAAUCUUAGCAAAUGCUACCUUACAUAUUCAUCUUCACAAUAGUUUAUGUUUCAAAAUUUGUUUAUGUAUUAUUGUUUAUGUUUCAAUAGCUUGUUUCAUAGUGUUUGAACUUUCUGUUUGUUUUUGACUUGUAGGUAGGGAUGAUGAAUGAAAUAGAUUAACGAGGAUGAAGCUAAAGUGAGUUUUGCAAACUUGUGUGAACUUGAUUUAAUUCUUCUAGUUCUUCAACCGCCCAUUUCUCCACCUCUAAUUUUGUUUGGAAAGUAAAUAAUAUUUUACAAAAUGAACAAGAGGUCAAAGAAGGGGAGGUUGAAAAACUAUGAGAAUUAAACCAAAUUAUAACUGUUAAAGAGCAAAAUGCGGAUAAGAAGUUUAAGAAUUCUUGUUUAGCAUUGAGAGUGUAACUUGUUCUUCUAAUAUAACUUAAUUUUUCAUAUUAUAGUAUUCUAGACUAUAUUGAAAGGUUAUAUGUUUAGUGAGCAUUGACGAAAUAAGUAUUCCAUAUAAUUUAUGAUAAACUCGGUGUAUAUAUCACAACGGUUGUUUAUAACAACCAUCUUUAAAUGUUAUGCAUUAAAGAAUAUCAAAAUGUUUGUU